UGGUCUUGACAUCCCGAGAAUCUGAGUGAAAGCUCAGAGUGCCUCUUUGAGGAGCUUGGUGACAGGUGCUGCAUGGCUGUCGUCAGCUCGUGUCGUGAGAUGUUGGGUUAAGUCCCGCAACGAGCGCAACCCUUAUCUUUAGUUGCCAUCAUUUAGUUGGGCACUCUAGAGAGACUGCCGGUGUCAAACCGGAGGAAGGUGGGGAUGACGUCAAGUCCUCAUGGCCUUUAUGAUCAGGGCUACACACGUACUACAAUGGUCGGUACAAAGGGCAGCGACAGGGCGACCUGUAGCGAAUCUCUUAAAGCCGGUCUCAGUCCGGAUUGGAGUCUGCAACUCGACUCCAUGAAGUUGGAAUCGCUAGUAAUCGUGGAUCAGCAUGCCACGGUGAAUACGUUCCCGGGCC
rnacentral:rRNA from 1 species